CCUACGGGGUGCUGCCGUGAGGAAUAUUGGUCAAUGGACGAGAGUCUGAACCAGCCAAGUAGCGUGAAGGAUGACUGCCCUAUGGGUUGUAAACUUCUUUUAUAUGGGAAUAAAAUGUUCCACGUGUGGGUUUUUGUAUGUACCAUAUGAAUAAGGAUCGGCUAACUCCGUGCCAGCAGCCGCGGUAAUACGGAGGAUCCGAGCGUUAUCCGGAUUUAUUGGGUUUAAAGGGAGCGUAGGUGGAUUGUUAAGUCAGUUGUGAAAGUUUGCGACUCAACCGUAAAAUUGCAGUUGAAACUGGCAGUCUUGAGUACAGUAGAGGUGGGCGGAAUUCGUGGUGGAGCGGUGAAAUGCUUAGAUAGCACGAAGAACUCCGAUUGCGAAGGCAGCUCACUGGACUGCAACUGACACUGAGGCUCGAAAGUGUGGGUAUCAAACAGGAUUAGAUACCCGAGUAGUC
rnacentral:rRNA from 1 species